rnacentral:rRNA from 1 species
GGAUUAGAUACCCUGGUAGUCCACGCCGUAAACGAUGUCUACUUGAAGGUUGUGAUCUUGAAUCGUGGCUUUCGGAGCUAACGCGUUAAGUAGACCGCCUGGGGAGUACGGUCGCAAGAUUAAAACUCAAAUGAAUUGACGGGGGCCCGCACAAGCGGUGGAGCAUGUGGUUUAAUUCGAUGCAACGCGAAGAACCUUACCUACUCUUGACAUCCAGAGAACCUUCUAGAGAUAGAAGGGUGCCUUCGGGAACUCUGAGACAGGUGCUGCAUGGCUGUCGUCAGCUCGUGCCG